AGACAGGUGGGACAGGUGGGAGACAGGUGGGACAGGUGGGAGACAGGUGGGAGACAGAAGAGACAAGUGAGGGCCAGGUGUGAGAGAGGCAAGCCAGGUGUGAGACAUGGGAGAGAGGUGAGAAACAGGUGUGAGACAGAAGAGAUAAGUGAGAAACAGGUGUGAGACAGGUGAGAAACAGGCGUGAGAGAGGUGAGAAACAGGCGUGAGACAGGUGAGAAACAGGCGUGAGACAGGUGAGAAACAGGCGUGAGACAGGUGAGAAACAGGCAUGAGACAGGUGAGAAACAGGCGUGAGACAGGUGAGAAACAGGCGUGAGACAGGUGUGAGACAGGUGAGAAACAGGUGAGAAACAGACGUGAGAGAGGUGAGAAACAGGCGUGAGAGAGGUGGGAGAGAUGUGAGAAACAGGUGUGAGACAGAAGAGAUAAGUGAGAAACAGGUGUGAGACAGGUGAGAAACAGGUGUGAGACAGGUGAGAAACAGGCGUGAGACAGGUGAGAAACAGGUGUGAGACAGGUGAGAAACAGGUGUGAGACAGGUGAGAAGCAGGUGAGAAACAGGCGUGAGACAGGUGAGAAACAGGCGUGAGACAGGUGAGAAACAGGUGUGAGAGAGGUGAGAAGCAGGUGAGAAACAGGUGUGAGACAGGUG